AGGGGCACCUCCACAUCAACAAUAUCAGCAAACCCCUCAUCCUCAGUACUCUCAGCCAGCACAUCAUCUACCUCAACAGCAGCCACCACUUUCAUCCGGAAAUCCACCUCAACUGCAAUCUUCCAUGGGUCACCACCAUCUCGAAGAACCAUCUUUUGUUCCUUCUCAGAGUUAUCCUCCCAAUCUCCGCCAACCACCAUCUCAGCCACCCAGUGGACCUCCUCCACCUGCCCAGCAAUUCUAUGGGACACCGUCCCAAGGAUAUGAAUCACCAUCAAGUAGAUCUGGUUCAAGUUAUUCUUCUGGAUAUGGUACAUUAUCUGGGCCUGCUGAGCCAUAUCGAUAUGGUGGGCCACCUCAGUAUGGUGGCAAACAACCACAAGUACAUAACGUCUCUGUGUCUUCCAGUGGUGGAAGUGGUUACCCACAGCUUCCAACUGCCCGUGCUCUCCCACAAGCAAUAC
rnacentral:lncRNA from 1 species